rnacentral:lncRNA from 1 species
GCGUUUGUAUCGUCACUAGUUACAAGUAAAUAUAUAAGAGUCUGCAGUUCUACACUGGACCAUCCUAACUCUACUUGUUUUUGUUCUACUCUGUAACUAUCAUAGUGGGGAAAAUAAAUAUUGCUUUUGUAUGUGAUUACCUUUUUACAACUAUCUUUUAACUUCUUACCUUUUUGUUGCACACGUGCUUGUUACCUGUUAUGGGUUUGAUAUAACUAAACUAAGUUAGUUUCACAUGUUGCUGUUGUUUUAGAUUGAUAUUUCGGAGAAUCUAAUUGCUAUGCAUUGUGGUUUUACAAUAUCUUUUCUGUUUACUAGCAUGAGAAUGAUGACCAAUAUAAUUGGACCAUGCUUGGAACUAUGGAGACAAAACAAGGGGAAAAAAUACAUUAGUAUCCAAAAAGCUGCGGCCAAUUUAAUUAUUUAUAUUUGUGUUUGUUUCUUCUUAAAACUGAGCAUUUAAGUUUGCAGCCCUGCACUAUUGUAACCUGAAUAAUGCAGUUAUGCUCUGAUUUUUAAAAAAUAGUGAGCAUAUAUAUAUAUAUAUAUAUAUAUAUAUAUAUAUAUAUGCAUGCAUGAGUGAACAGGAUCAUAGUUUGCUUGGGAAAUGGGAUCCUUCUUUGUGUUAACUUGAACUGAUGGGUUUUUUUCCUCUUUAAAGAUAUCUGUCACUGCAAUGGUUAGUAUUCUUCUCCACACAUAGUCAUUUACUGCAUUGUUAUUUCUUUUUGCUCAGUAGACCUCUGAAUCUAGUUUGGUUAUUUUUCUGAAUGUGAUUUAUUAGUUGUUCUUUGGAAUGCAUGUGUUUUUGCUUUGUAAUUAAAUAUAAUAGAGACUUAUUGGUUGCUAUGAUUUUUCAGGUGCUUAUAACUAGUGCACUAAUUGAAGGCAAGCUGCUCCUUGUCAAUUUCUUCAUUGGUGUUUAUAUAGCAUUACUAUGAAGGCAAGUUGUUCCUUAUCAUAUUCCUCUGAUGUUGCCAAAAACCUGUAUGUUGGUUGGUAAAUGGCAGAUCCCAAUGACUUGGAUAUUUCCUUCAAGAAGAUAAUCAAUUACAUGAGCUUCUUCUAUUGUAUCGAGUACCAAAUAGGUUUACUUUGAGUAUGUUAGUGGGACAUGUAAUAUGAAAUUGCUAAUUAGAAAGUGACUACUUAAAUAAUUAGCAAGUGACAUGCAUAUACCCUGGCAGAUCACCUUUGCCUCUUGUUGCUGCAGAUUGAUACUUGUCAUGUUAAGUGCCUAGUUCAAUGUUAAGUGACAUUACAUAUAUAAUGUAAUUGUUGGAUACAUGAAUCAAUGUGUGUAUAAUGUGAUCACUUUUGAAUGUCAUCACUUUUGUGUACAUGAAUCAAAGUAUGGCUAAUAUUUGAUCAUCAGCUAUACCUUUAGAUCAACUUUUAUUUUUUUUACAUAUUUAAUUGAGCUCGAUGGACGGUCUGUUGCUAAAAGUCAUUAUUGUAAUGGAUUGUCCGUUGCUAAAAGCUUUGAUAGGUUGUCUGUUGCUAAAGGUUGGACCGUCGAACUGUUCGUCGCUAAAUAAGAUGUCCGUCGCUGUAUAAAUACAACGACGGCUUCAUUAGCAACGGUAACGGUCCGUCGUUGUAGCCUUUAGCAACGGACUGUCCAUUGUUUUACACCCCUUUUAGCAACACAUUGUCCAUUGCUGUUUAAAGGUUGUGGUGUAGUGUGCGAUCAUAUUGGAAAUGUCUGGGUUUUGUUCAUCUGAUACUACAACUUGCUCCAAACUUUCUCAAAUUUUUUAUAGCUUCCACAUGUGAUAACAUGACACUUGGUCAAGUUUCGUAAUUUUUCGACUUUGUUUGAAUUUUAUAUAAUUAAAAAUCACCUCUAACACACUUGGAUGGUCAUGUCCCGUGGAUAAAGACAUCAAAAUUUUGGGUGAGUUUCGGGAAAUGACCUUAAAAUAGACUCUCCAACAUGAAUAUCAUUUUUUGAAUGGCUAAGUUUCAUUAUUUGAUGCACCUGCAGUUCAAAGUAGGAUUCUGUGGUGGAAAAUACAAUUAAAAGAAAUUAAUUUACAAAAUAUAGCAAAAAGGGUCACAAAAUCAAGAAAGUUUAUAAGGUUCACUCUUAUUGCAUGUGGAGGCUAUGAAAAAAGUUGGAGGAAGUUUGGAGCAAGUGACGACAUCGAAUGUCUAAAACCUAAAUUCAAAUUUCAAAAAUAAAAAAAAAUUAUCUUUGCCGACUGCCUAACGGCUUAGCAGGUGGCAAAGGAAACGGAGAUGGAUGCCGUUAGCUGCCAGCCACCUUUGCCACCAGCUUUUCUUUGCCACCUGCCAAGCAGCCACCUUUGCCACCAGCCUUUCUUUGCCACCUGCCAGGCAGUCGGCAAAGGAUGUCUUUACCGACUCCCUUUCUUUGCCACCUGCCAGGAUAGUUGGGCAGUCGGCAAAGAAUCCUUUGCCGACUGCUUUUAGAAGCAGUCGGCAAAGAGAAUGUUUGCCGACUGCCCUUUCUUUGGCAGGUGGCAAAGGAUUUUAACAGUCGGCAAAGCCCAGUUUUCCUGUAGUGCACGGUGGAUGGCGCCUUUGCUGCUUCACCAUCUUUGGUGGUUACUUGCCACUAUCUUGUUCAUAUUUCUUUUUGUUUAUUAUAUUUUCAUUUCAGUCCCUAUUUGCUUUGCAAUUACUUAUGACGCUUACGUGACCAUUCUUUAAGUUGUCUUAAAACAAGUACCACCACUUUGUUAACAUUUUUAUUUUAUUUUCUCAUUUAUAUAUUGAAGUACAUUCAUGUUGUUUCUUCCUCCCUUUACCUAUUAGUUGUCUUGCAUCUGAACCAAAAUCUUUAUGUCUCUUCUUUCAAAGAUCCAAACCCUGAUUUGUUUAGAAAACAUUCUUCUCUGCAUUGUCCUUGAAGUAGUAGAUGUUUUCUAGUUUAUAGUGUAUAUGGGAACCUUAUAUCUAUCUGGAUUGAGGAAAACCAUAAACAGCCACCUACAAAGAGCUGAGGAAAACUGAUGCUCUUGUCGCUCCAUGGGCAGCUCAGAACCAUCUUCAGCGCUGUCGCUCCACGCGUACUCGCUCGUCUGUGUGUUCUGCUACCACUCUAGCCAGAUGCUGGAAUCACGUGCAGCGGUGAGGAUGGCAGCGAUGAGGCCUUCUUCUCAUUUCUUUGCAGUGCUCUUUGCAUGCGAUGGCAAUUGCCUCAACUGCUAGGCUAGGCCAUACUCUGAUGAUGAAGCUCACGACACUAGGCUUCCCUAGGCUGGCCAUGGCUAGAUCUGCUCGACGGCUGGCCAAAUUGGGUGCCAGCACCAUUCGUCAAGUUGGAGGCAACCUGAGCUACAAGUGAUACACAUGCUCUUAGGUCGUUAGUGGGGUGGUGGCCGAAGGCUCGUAUUUGUCUUGGUGCCAGCGACUCAGUCAUUUCCACGCCUAAAUCUACCGAUGCAGAGGUGGCACGGCUAUGGCCACAAGGAGGUAGUGAGAUGGUGGUGAAAGUGGCGUGAUUGCGAUGGUGGUUGCAUGGAGGUGGCAUGGAGGCCGCACGUGGGAAGCGCGAUGGCGAUGCAGUGACAACAUGUGUGUGUUGGAUAGUGAUGUGAUGCACUAAAUGCAGUGGAAUGGUGUUCGUUGUGGUAUCUUUGCAAGCCGAAGUUAAGGAGGAGGUUUGUGCCACUACAUGAGAGGUGAGAGCUUGGCAGUGAAAGCCAGCAAUGGCGACGAUGAUGUACUAUGUUAGUUGGUGGUUUGCCGGCAAUGGUCCAACUUGGCUACAUGCGUGACUUCUUCGGGUUCUCUGUUGCCUCCAUGUGCUAGCCUUGCUAUAUCAUCAGAUGUGCUAUUUUGGACAACAACAGUAGCCAUUAGGACGGUAGAGGUUAGGGCAAAAGCCUUGACGACGUCAACUCCUGCUAGCGGUGCUUCCAUCUUGGAGGCGUCCACUAAUUAAGUCCUACCAUGCUAGUUUUCUUUAGGUGAAAACACUGCCUACUUGUGGGUCAGCGAUGAGGUGGUGUCUUGACCUUCUUUAAGGUAUUGUUGUGGGAAUAUGGUGUCAUGCACCCUUUCGACCCAUGAUGGUAACCAUUUGUGGCCUUUGGGAAGUUAGAGGUUGUGUCGAGUUGUUCACAAGCUCAACAAUGAUGACUUGAAGCCAUGUUUGGUUGUGGCAGUAGUAUGUUAGAUAUGUGUCGAAUAUGUGUAUAUUUGGUUACGUUGGACUUGAGUUGUAUUAGAGACUAAGAUAAAAUUGUAGUUGAACUAUGCGCCCUAGGGGUCCAUAAAUAUGAGGCCACCCCUGUUGUAACUAAGAGACAACCACUACUACACAUCUGUUAACCGUGACGGGCACUUUACAUUUAGCGCAACGGGCAUUGGCGUCCGCCACGAAUGAAAGGUCACGGUUAAUCGUGGCCUCACCGUGGCGGGUGCCUGUGCCCGCUGCAGAAAAUGGAAUUACCACAGCAGGCAACAUAAGGUGCCCGUUGCGGUUAAUCCCAUUAACCGAAGCGGACAUCUUAUAUUGCCCGUCGCGGUUAAUCCCAUUAACCGCAGCAGGCACCUUAUGUUGCCCGUCGUGAUUAAUGAUUUAAAAAAACAAAAAAAACUGGACACGCCAACCGAGCCCAUCAAGGUUGUUGCCGCCGCCGCCAGGGAAACCCUAGCACCGCCGGUCAGGGUCGUCGCCGUCGUCAUCCAUGGAUCCGCUCUAAUCCACCUUCUCACGCUGGAACCAAUCGGCCCCCACAUAGGAGGGAGAGCCACGACCCCCGCCGCCACCGGAGAUGGGCAUGACUGGCCUCCACCUCCCAGAUCUGGCUCGUGGUGGCUCCUUCACCGGUUCUGGAAAGAGAGAAGGAAGAAUAGUGAGAUGAGUGAAAAAGAGAGGGAGAUUGGGAGGGCACGAGUGGCGGUGACGACUGGGUACGCACCUGGAUGUUCAUAGCCUUCUUGUUGGUCUCCAGCCAGCUGCCUGCAAGCAAAUACAGACAAAAUCGAUGGACGGAGUCAGAUCAGAUGGAGAUUGGAAGGUGAGGUGAGCAAGGGAGGAGGGGGAAUCGGGGUAGGGAUGGAUGGGGAUAGACGUGCCUUUGGAGGCCUUGUUCGUCUCGGUGUUCCUCUCCUCCUGCUCCUCCUUGGUGCCCUUGCAGCCUGCGAGAAAAAAGAGAAGAGUCGAGUCGCGAGUGGGGAAGGAAGGAAGGGACUGGGCUGCUUCUCUCUUUCCAGCGGUUCAUUUAAAGUGCUCCUCCACUAAAAAUAAUUUACUGUGACGGGCAAGAUAGGUUGCCCGCUGGGGUAAAUUGAUUUACAGCAGCGGAAUUUUCCGUGACGGACAUAUUAAGAUGCAGCGUAUUUUCCAUGGCGGACAUAUUAAGAUGCCCGCUGCGGUAAAUUGAUUUACUGCAGCGGGCAUCUUAAUACGUCCGCCACGGAAAAUGCCCGCGGCGGUAAAUCGAUUUACCGCAGCGGGCAAAAAUGUCCGUCGUGGUUAAUUAAAAGUGCCCACUACGGUAAAUCGCACGAUUUACCGCAGCGGGCAAAAAACACGUCCGCCCCCCUCUUGGGCUAAAAAAAUGUUUAAAAGAUUUUCUUUUUAGCAAAAGAUUCUAUGUAUUUGAUAUUUUUAUGUUUAUUUUAUGAAAAAUUUUGCAUUUGAGCACUUUGAAUCAAUAUUGAAUUAUCAAUCUUAGUUACAUCUAUUAGUGUACUAGAUUGAACGAGAAAAAAAAAA